CCCUUAUGAACAGUGUUGGCAGUUGUGCUGGAUGCAAGCUUCACGAAAACAUAAUCACCAUGUACAAGUGAAGGCCUUCUCUCAGCAAGCCCCGGGACCUCCAAAGNNNNNNNNNNGCCCCUUUCCUUCUCAUGCCGAUAAACUCCAUGUCAUGACACCUCAUUUCUUUCUCCAAAUGUAGUUCUUCCAUUAUGAGCAAUGCACUGAAAAAAGAAGCAUAGUUCUUCCUAUUCAAACCUUCCAUAAGAACAUCAGGAACUCGCUUAUUCUCCAGCAACUCUCUUGCAUCCCUUGGGAUUGGAAAUUCAGGAAGCUUAAAUUUAAUUCCUCGGACCAUUGCCUUGACAGGAUGAG
rnacentral:misc_RNA from 1 species